rnacentral:rRNA from 1 species
UACGGAGGGGACUAGCGUUGUUCGGAAUUACUGGGCGUAAAGCGCACGUAGGCGGAUUUGUAAGUUAGGGGUGAAAUCCCGGGGCUCAACCUCGGAACUGCCUUUGAUACUGCAAAUCUCGAGUCCGGAAGAGGUGAGUGGAAUUCCUGGUGUAGCGGUGAAAUGCGUAGAUAUCAGGAGGAACACCGGUGGCGAAGGCGGCUCUCUGGACGGUGACUGACGCUGAGACGCGAAAGCGUGGGGAGCAAACAGG